UCAAAAACUUGUCAGUUUCACAAUUUUUUCUCUAUCCCCUUCUCUCCUCUUCUCUCUUUCUCGGCCUCAUUCCAAUUCUUUCUUAAUUCUUCAAAAUUGCCAGAUUCCGGCAUCACUUUCUCUCUCAUCACCGUCUCCUCCGGUGACUUUUUCCCCGGUUAUAGACUUCAUCGAUUUUUGUACCAAAUUACCAUUUUGCCCUCUUUAUUUUCACUAUUUACCGUUUUACCCUUUUCAGUUUUCACCGUCUGCGAGAUAAAUUUACCGUAG